GGAUGUGAGGAUGAUCUGGCUGCAACAUCUGUCACCUCAUUGAUCACCAGGGUUGAUUCGGCUGAUCUGGCUGGCUAGGCGGGUGUCCCAUUCUUUCCUCACCACUCCAUGUGCAUCCAUUCCAAAACUGUGCGCUUGGUGGAGGAUGACGACCACCACAGAUGGAAGGAGUAUACCGUUCUGUGGUCAAGGCUAUAUGAUAGCUGUGCUCCCCUGCUAGAACCUCCAAACUCCAGGGUCAAUCCAUGGCAAUUAAAAAGAAAAUGAUGUAGAGUGAUUAUGGGAAAGACUUGUUCCUGAUACCCUAGAAGUGUUGGUGG